UCCUACGUUGGAGGAGGAUUUCUCAGG
rnacentral:piRNA from 1 species